GGUGAACGCUGGCGGCGUGCCUAAUACAUGCAAGUCGAGCGAACAGACGAGGAGCUUGCUCCUCUGACGUUAGCGGCGGACGGGUGAGUAACACGUGGAUAACCUACCUAUAAGACUGGGAUAACUUCGGGAAACCGGAGCUAAUACCGGAUAAUAUAUUGAACCGCAUGGUUCAAUAGUGAAAGACGGUUUUGCUGUCACUUAUAGAUGGAUCCGCGCCGCAUUAGCUAGUUGGUAAGGUAACGGCUUACCAAGGCAACGAUGCGUAGCCGACCUGAGAGGGUGAUCGGCCACACUGGAACUGAGACACGGUCCAGACUCCUACGGGAGGCAGCAGUAGGGAAUCUUCCGCAAUGGGCGAAAGCUUGACGGGGCAACGCCGCGUGAGUGAUGAAGGUCUUCGGAUCGUAAAACUCUGUUAUUAGGGAAGAACAAAUGUGUAAGUAACUAUGCACGUCUUGACGGUACCUAAUCAGAAAGCCACGGCUAACUACGUG
rnacentral:rRNA from 1 species